rnacentral:rRNA from 1 species
UAUGUAACGGGGCUCAAGUUCAGUACCGAAGCCGCGGAUGCGACUCUUUGAGUCGUGUGGUAGCGGAGCGUCGAGCGUGCAGCGAAGCGGCGGGACAACCCAGCCGUGGAGCGCGUUCGAGUGCGAAUGUUGGCAUGAGUAGCGAAUGAGGGGUGAGAACCCCCUCCGCCGUAUGUCCAAGGGUUCCUGGGCGAGGCCAAUCCUCCCAGGGUGAGUCGGGAGCUAAGGCGAGGCCGAGAGGCGUAGUCGAUGCACAACUGGUUGAUAUUCCAGUACCACCAUGUUCGCGUCCGUCCCAAUACUCUGUUGCUAAGGGGCUGUGUUGACUUCGGUCAACGCGAACCGACCCACAUUGUUGCGGGAAGCUGUAGGGGGACGCAGGAAGGUAGAUGAACCCGGUGAAUGGUAGUACCGGGGUAAGCGCGUAGGAGGAGGACCAGGUAAAUCCGGGCCUCAUAAACUCUGAGACGUGAUACCGAGCCGCUUCAGGCGAAGUCAUUGAUCCUAUGCUGCCUAGAAAAGCCCAGCAGCGAGUUGACAUGGUGCCCGUACCCCAAACCAACACAGGUGGACAGGUAGAGCAUACCAAGGCGAGUGGGAUAACUAUGGUUAAGGAACUCGGCAAAUUGCCUCCGUAACUUCGGGAGAAGGAGGACCCCAGUAGCGUGAUGAGACUUGCUCUCUGAGCGUGAAGGGGUGGCACAAAAUUGAGGGAAGCGACUGUUUACCAAAAACACAGCAGCGUGCUAAGCCGUAAGGCGCUGUAUACGCUGUGACUCCUGCCCGGUGCUGGAAGGUUACGGGGAUGGGUUAGUCCUUCGGGACGAAGCUCUGAACCUAAGCCCCAGUAAACGGCGGCCGUAACUAUAACGGUCCUAAAGUAGCGAAAUUCCUUGUCGGGUAAGUUCCGACCUGCACGAAUGGAGUAACGACUUCCCUACUGUCUCAACCAUAGACCCAGCGAAAUUGAAGUACGAGUAAAGAUGCUCGUUAGCUGCAGAAGGACGGAAAGACCCCGUGGACCUUUACUAUAACUUGAUGUUGUGUUUUGUCAUAUGUUGUGUAGGAUGUGGGAGACUUGGAAGCAUGGACGCUAGUCUGUGUGGAGUCAUCGUUGAAAUACCACCCUGCAUAUGGUGAGGCUCUAACCUAGACCCGUUAUCCGGGUUGGGGACAGCGUCAGGCGGGUAGUUUAACUGGGGCGGUUGCCUCCUAAAGAGUAACGGAGGCGCCCAAAGGUUCCCUCAGCCUGGUUGGCAAUCAGGCGUUGAGUGCAAUGGCAAAAGGGAGCUUGACUACGAGACCUACAAGUCGAGCAGGAGCGAAAGCUGGGCAUAGUGAUCCGGCGGUUGCGUGUGGAAGCGCCGUCGCUCAACGGAUAAAAGGUACCCCGGGGAUAACAGGCUAAUCUU